UACGGAGGGUGCAAGCGUUAAUCGGAAUUACUGGGCGUAAAGCGAGUGUAGGCGGCUACGUCAGUCGGAUGUGAAAGCCCCGGGCUUAACCUGGGAAUGGCAUUCGAUACUGCGUGGCUAGAGUCUGAUAGAGGGAAGUGGAAUUCCGGGUGUAGCGGUGAAAUGCGCAGAUAUCCGGAGGAACACCAGUGGCGAAGGCGGCUUCCUGGAUCAAGACUGACGCUGAGGCUCGAAAGCGUGGGGAGCAAACAGG
rnacentral:misc_RNA from 1 species